CCUACGGGAGGCAGCAGUGGGGAAUAUUGCACAAUGGGGGAAACCCUGAUGCAGCGACGCCGCGUGAGUGAAGAAGUAAUUCGUUAUGUAAAGCUCUAUCAGCAGGGAAGAAAAUGACGGUACCUGAGUAAGAAGCCCCGGCUAACUACGUGCCAGCAGCCGCGGUACUACGUAGGGGGCAAGCGUUAUCCGGAUUUACUGGGUGUAAAGGGAGCGUAGACGGCAGUGCAAGUCUGGAGUGAAAGGCGGGGGCUCAACCCCCGGACUGCUCUGGAAACUGUACGGCUGGAGUGCAGGAGAGGUAAGUGGAAUGCCUAGUGUAGCGGUGAAAUGCGUAGAUAUGAGGAGGAACACCAGUGGCGAAGGCGGCUUACUGGACUGUAACUGACGUUGAGGCUCGAAAGCGUGGGGAGCAAACAGGAUUAGAUACCCGUGUAGUC
rnacentral:rRNA from 1 species